AACAGGAUUAGAUACCCUGGUAGUCCACGCCCUAAACGAUGUCUACUAGUUGUUGGUGGAGUAAAAUCCAUGAGUAACGCAGCUAACGCGUGAAGUAGACCGCCUGGGGAGUACGAUCGCAAGAUUAAAACUCAAAUGAAUUGACGGGGGCCCGCACAAGCGGUGGAUUAUGUGGAUUAAUUCGAUGCAACGCGAAAAACCUUACCUGGCCUUGACAUGUACCGAAUUUACCAGAGAUGGUUUAGUGCUCGAAAGAGAACGGUAACACAGGUGCUGCAUGGCUGUCGUCAGCUCGUGUCGUGAGAUGUUGGGUUAAGUCCCGCAACGAGCGCAACCCUUGCCAAUAAUUGCCAUCAUUUAGUUGGGCACUUUAUUGGGACUGCCGGUGACAAACCGGAGGAAGGUGGGGAUGACGUCAAGUCCUCAUGGCCCUUAUGGCCAGGGCUUCACACGUAAUACAAUGGUCGGUACAGAGGGUCGCCAACCCGCGAGGGGGAGCUAAUCCCAGAAAGCCGAUCGUAGUCCGGAUUGCAGGCUGCAACUCGCCUGCAUGAAGUCGGAAUCGCUAGUAAUCGCGGAUCAGCAUGUCGCGGUGAAUACGUUCCCGGGCCUUGUACACACCGCCCGUCACACCAUGGGAGUGGGUUUUACCAGAAGUAGGUAGUCUAACCGCAAGGGGGGCGCUUACCACGGUAGUAUUCAUGACUGGGGUGAAGUCGUAACAAGGUAACC
rnacentral:rRNA from 1 species